rnacentral:rRNA from 1 species
CCUACGGGAGGCAGCAGUGAGGAAUAUUGGUCAAUGGACGAGAGUCUGAACCAGCCAAGUAGCGUGAAGGAUGACUGCCCUAUGGGUUGUAAACUUCUUUUAUAUGGGAAUAAAACGUUCCACGUGUGGGAUUUUGUAUGUACCAUAUGAAUAAAGAUCGGCUAACUCCGUGCCAGCAGCCGCGGUAAUACGGAGGAUCCGAGCGUUAUCCGGAUUUAUUGGGUUUAAAGGGAGCGUAGGUGGAUUGUUAAGUCAGUUGUGAAAGUUUGCGGCUCAACCGUAAAAUUGCAGUUGAAACUGGCAGUCUUGAGUACAGUAGAGGUGAGCGGAAUUCGUGGUGUAGCGGUGAAAUGCUUAGAUAUCACGAAGAACUCCGAUUGCGAAGGCAGUUCACUGGACUGCAACUGACACUGAGGCUCGAAAGUGUGGGUAUCAAACAGGAUUAGAUACCCUUGUAGUC